rnacentral:ncRNA from 1 species
AUAGUAGCGAUAACUGAAACAACAUGAAGCAAAAUACUUUUCAGAGAGCCAGCGGAGGUGUGAAGCUGGUAAGUGCUUUUUGCAUAAAUGAUCAUUCAGUGGCUCUUUAGUGAAUUAUGUAGUAGCUAAAGACGUAACUCUGCGUUAAAGAGAAGAGAAAAACAAAAGUAAAUGUAUAAUAUUGUGGAAUAUAAACAGUAUUAUUAUCACUUAAUGUUUUUGAAGUAAGGUGGUACCACGAAGAUUUCGUCCUUUUA